rnacentral:rRNA from 1 species
UACGUAGGGUGCGAGCGUUGUCCGGAAUUAUUGGGCGUAAAGAGCUCGUAGGCGGUUUGUUGCGUCGGCCGUGAAAACCUGCAGCUUAACUGUGGGCCUGCGGUCGAUACGGGCAGACUUGAGUUCGGUAGGGGAGACUGGAAUUCCUGGUGUGGCGGUGAAAUGCGCAGAUAUCAGGAGGAACACCGGUGGCGAAGGCGGGUCUCUGGGCCGAUACUGACGCUGAGGUGCGAAAGCGUGGGGAGCAAACAGG